UACGAAGGGGGCUAGCGUUGCUCGGAAUCACUGGGCGUAAAGGGUGCGUAGGCGGGUCUUUUAAGUCAGGGGUGAAAUCCUGGAGCUCAACUCCAGAACUGCCUUUGAUACUGAAGAUCUUGAGUUCGGGAGAGGUGAGUGGAACUGCGAGUGUAGAGGUGAAAUUCGUAGAUAUUGCAAGAACACCAGUGGCGAAGGCGGCUCACUGGCCCGAUACUGACGCUGA
rnacentral:rRNA from 1 species